AGUGAACGCUGGCGGUAGGCCUAACACAUGCAAGUCGAACGGCAGCACAGGAGAGCUUGCUCUCUGGGUGGCGAGUGGCGGACGGGUGAGGAAUACAUCGGAAUCUACUUUUUCGUGGGGGAUAACGUAGGGAAACUUACGCUAAUACCGCAUACGACCUACGGGUGAAAGCAGGGGACCUUCGGGCCUUGCGCGAUUGAAUGAGCCGAUGUCGGAUUAGCUAGUUGGCGGGGUAAAGGCCCACCAAGGCGACGAUCCGUAGCUGGUCUGCGAGGAUGAUCAGCCACACUGGAACUGAGACACGGUCCAGGCGCCUACGAGAGGAGGCAGUGGGGAAUAUUGGACAAUGGGCGCAAGCCUGAUCCAGCCAUACCGCGUGGGUGAAGAAGGCCUUCGGGUUGUAAAGCCCUUUUGUUGGGAAAGAAAUCCAGCUGGCUAAUACCCGGUUGGGAUGACGGUACCCAAAGAAUAAGCACCGGCUAACUUCGUGCCAGCCGCCGCGGUAA
rnacentral:rRNA from 1 species